UGUGGGAGCUGGCUUGCCUGCGAUGGCAUCGCCGCGGUAUUACCCGUACACCGCGGUGAUGCUAUCGCAGGCAAGCCAGCUCCCACA
rnacentral:misc_RNA from 1 species